GAUAGAAGGAACGGUAAAUAAACAUUUGAACCCGAUCCCGAAUACAAGAGAGAUGAAAGCUUAGACGCGCCAAUCACAAUUGAGCUAGCCGAAUUGAAAACGUUGCCAGCUCUAUUUUCAGUACGUCAAAAUUUUUCCGACAAUUCAGAUAAAUUGUCGAUGUGGCAACGUGCAUUCUGGAAUUCUGUCAUUUUGUUCUGGCUUUAGACCUCCUCAGUUGGCUAAAUCUUCAUAAUUCCUUGUUUUAAUUAUUUUGUAUUUUCAUUUAUAACCAUUAGAAGUGAUAUUAGAUAUGCCUAGCAAGUGUUUUUUGUGUGGUUUCACUUAUAUUGUAGGAGGUGAAAUUAGUCUUCACAGACUUCCAUCGAAUCAACUUGAACGAGAAGAAUGGUUGCAGAGAAUUUCUUGGAGCCGACCGAUGUUGGAAAGAAAAAAUUUUCUUUGCUCAAAUCACUUUCCUGAAAAUUGCUUCCGAUUAAUGAUACCAUGAAAGAGGCUUAUACCAGGAAGUUUGCCUUCUCCUUCUGAAAUCAUAUUGUAAAUACCUCUGACCUACUCAGAAGGGAAUGGAACUAUUGAAGCACAGGACUUUACAGAAUCUGAUUCUAAAACACAAGAGAGAUUUGAGACUUCAGCUACUUUUAACUCUCCUUCAAAAUCUACAUCUUCUAGCUAUAGUGACACUAAGAACCUACGGCUUAUCAAAGGAGGUUUGCCUUUGGAAAUUAAAUUGGAAAUACCUCUGACUUACUCAGAAGGGAAUGGAAGUAUUGAAGAACAAGGCUCCACGGAACCUCUAUAUGAUUCUAAAAUACAAUCUCCAUCAAAAAAAACAAUUGAGAUUUGACACUCCAAUUACCAAUGAUCCAGAAGAAACACUGACUUUAAUCUCUCCUUCAAAAUGUGCAUCAUUUAGCUCUAGUGCCACUUCUUUCUCUGGGAAACGAAGAAUAUCCAAAAUGAAGUCGAGACGGUUUUUCUCAAAUCCCCGCUUAUAUUGGAGACUAUUCACAUCGUUAUUUGGAAAACCCUAUGCUGCGAAAGAAUUACUUUAGGUUGUCUCGAAGAAUCCUGUCCAAUUUCAAGGUCAAAAAUAAAAUAUUGUGUGUGUCCCUCCUGAAGUCAAACAGCACCUAGUCAAAACUACAGUUGAGAAAAAUCUUGGGGUAUCUUUCCAAUGCCUAUCAAUUUGUAGUUGAUAUCUAUACUCAGGCUGAGAAGACAUUUAGGUGGACAGAAAGGGUUUUUAAUAUAUUCGAUAAAAAUUAUUCGAACUUGUUAUUAUGUCUGGUUCUCACUACAGUGUUGAUCCAAAAUUGUUCAAUGUUUUCAAUCAGCAUCUGUUUGAUGAUGAACCAGGGAGAAUCCAUGGUCCUGCUAUAACGAAAAUGAUUCUUAAUGGUUCUGGAAACUAAUUUCAAUUUGAGGUUUCAUCAUAAAUUGAGAAAUCGACAGAGUGCAAAAUUAUAUUUGAAUCGGUUGAGAAGUAGAUUGAUAAAAACUAUAUUUGAAAAUCAAUAAAAUUUUCUAAUAAUGUUUGAAACCAAUAAUUUUAUUUGUACUGUAUUUCUGUGAUAAAUAUAUUCUGUUGUUUUAUUGAACCGAUAGAUUUUUUAAUAAUAUUUGUAAACCAAUUAUUUAUAUUUUGUAUUUUUGUGAUAAAUAUAUUCUGUUGUUUUUU